GACCUGAUAGUUCAGGGGUUAAGAGCACUUGACAUGUAAUCCAAAUCCAAACUUAGUGGUCACUGGUUCAAAUCCAGCUCAGGUCA